UCAACGGAGAGUUUGAUUCUGGCUCAGAACGAACGCUGGCGGCGUGGAUAAGACAUGCAAGUCGAACGGGAUUUUCCGGGUAGCAAUACUUGGGAAGUCCAGUGGCAAACGGGUGCGUAACACGUGAGCAAUCUGCCGGGAAGUGGGGGAUAGCUCGCCGAAAGGCGAAUUAAUACCGCAUGUGGCCAGGGGGGACAUCCUCCCGAAGCCAAAGUCGCAAGACGCUUCCUGAUGAGCUCGCGGCCUAUCAGCUUGUUGGCGGGGUAACGGCCCACCAAGGCUAUGACGGGUAGCUGGUCUGAGAGGACGACCAGCCACACUGGAACUGAGACACGGUCCAGACACCUACGGGUGGCAGCAGUCGAGAAUUUUUCACAAUGGGGGAAACCCUGAUGGAGCGACGCCGC
rnacentral:rRNA from 1 species